CCCUUAGAUGUUCUGGGCCGCACGCGCGCUACACUGAUGCAUUCAACGAGUCUAAAACCUGCUCUGAUAGGGGUGGGUAAUCUUUUGAAUGUGCAUCGUGAUUGGGAUAGAUGAUUGCAAUUUUUCAUCUUCAACGAGGAAUGCCUAGUAAACGCAAGUCAUCAGCUUGCAUUGAUUACGUCCCUGCCCUUUGUACACACCGCCCGUCGCUCCUACCGAUUGAAUGAUCCGAUGAAUAUCAUGGAUUGAGGAUGCAAGCAUGUUCGCCUGUCUUCAUCUUCGAGAAGUGAAGUAAAUCUUAUCAUUUAGAGGAAGGAGAAGUCGUAACA
rnacentral:rRNA from 1 species